UAGUGAGGUGCCGUCAAGAGGUGUAAAUUUGAAACAUCCCUAAUACAGGAUCACUUGGAUCCGU
rnacentral:rRNA from 1 species